UAUGUUACUAAAAGAGGCAUGACGUUUUGUUUUAGAUUUUUCAGGGCCCUAGCUUGCUGGCAUGCAUGCACGCCAAGUAUUUUCCGAAAUGUCAACCUACCAAAACUGGGUGAAAUCUUUGCACACAAUUAUAUGCUAUUGGUAGAUACCGCACCAUUUCAACCAAGUAUGCACAGGCAAGUUUUAUUUGAUUGCUACAGAAAUUAAGGUGAUACCAUGACCCGCUGAAGCAAUUGAAGCAAAACCAGUUUGAAAGACUUUGUCGACAAAGGGAUUUCUAUAUAAUGCAAAUGAAUAUUUAAAUUUAAUGGAUCAAGAUGGUAUAACUUUAUAUGAGAUGACAUUCAUGGAUUUGUAUACCACGAUGUAAUGCCCAUGUUAUUUCUGAAUGAAAAAGCUCUAUACCUUUUUGCUCUAA